rnacentral:rRNA from 1 species
UGGCGAACGGGUGAGUAACACGUGGGGAAUCUGCCUAUAAGUGGGGGAUAACGUUCGGAAACGGAUGCUAAUACCGCAUAUAUUCAAAAACCGCAUGGUUUCUGAAAGAAAGACGGCUUUGCUGUCGCUUAUAGAUGAUCCCGCGGCGUAUUAGUUAGUUGGUGGGGUAAUGGCCUACCAAGACCAUGAUACGUAGCCGACCUGAGAGGGUGAUCGGCCACACUGGGACUGAGACACGGCCCAGACUCCUACGGGAGGCAGCAGUAGGGAAUCUUCCACAAUGGGUGCAAACCUGAUGGAGCAAUGCCGCGUGAAUGAAGAAGGUCUUCGGAUCGUAAAGUUCUGUUAUUAGAGAAGAACAAGUCAAGGAGUAACUGUCUUGACUUUGACGGUACCUAACCAGAAAGUCACGGCUAACUACGUGCCAGCAGCCGCGGUAAUACGUAGGUGACAAGCGUUGUCCGGAAUUAUUGGGCGUA